rnacentral:tRNA from 1 species
UUGGAAUGUGAUCUUUUGAUAUUUCUUUUACAAGGAAAAUGGGCUUUUGAGCCAUUCUAAG